rnacentral:rRNA from 1 species
UACGGAGGGGGUUAGCGUUGUUCGGAAUGACUGGGCGUAAAGCGCACGUAGGCGGCUUUCUAAGUCGGGGGUGAAAUCCUGGAGCUCAACUCCAGAACUGCCUUCGAUACUGGAAAGCUCGAGUCCGGGAGAGGUGAGUGGAACUGCGAGUGUAGAGGUGAAAUUCGUAGAUAUUCGCAAGAACACCAGUGGCGAAGGCGGCUCACUGGCCCGGUACUGACGCUGAGGUGCGAAAGCGUGGGGAGCAAACAGG